UCCCUGGUGGUUCAGUGGUUAGGAUUCUACUUUUCUGGUGCAGGGAGCACAGGUUUGAUCCCUGGUCAGGGAA
rnacentral:tRNA from 1 species